rnacentral:rRNA from 1 species
AUACAACUUUCAGCAACGGAUCUCUUGGCUCUCGCAUCGAUGAAGAACGCAGCGAAAUGCGAUAAGUAAUGUGAAUUGCAGAAUUCAGUGAAUCAUCAAAUCUUUGAACGCACCUUGCGCUCCUUGGUAUUCCAAGGAGCACGCCUGUUUGAGUGUUGUGUAACUCUCAACCUGCAAACUUACUUGCAGGCUUGGACUUU